GACGCAGCAACGCCGCGUGUGUGAUGAAGGUCUUCGGAUUGUAAAGCACUUUCGACCGGGACGAAAAAGCGGGUGCUAAUCAGCCUGCCUUGACGGUACCGGGAGAAGAAGCACCGGCUAACUCUGUGCCAGCAGCCGCGGUAAUACAGAGGGUGCAAGCGUUGUUCGGAAUUAUUGGGCGUAAAGCGCGUGUAGGCGGCCUGGCAAGUCGGGUGUGAAAGCCCUCAGCUCAACCGAGGAAGUGCGCCCGAAACUGCUAUGGCUUGAGUGCCGGAGAGGGUGGCGGAAUUCCCCAAGUAGAGGUGAAAUUCGUAGAUAUGGGGAGGAACACCGGUGGCGAAGGCGGCCACCUGGACGGUGACUGACGCUGAGACGCGAAAGCGUGGGGAGCAAACAGGAUUAGAUACCCUGGUAGUCCACGCCGUAAACGAUGAGAACUAGGUGUCGUGGGAGUUGACCCCCGCGGUGCCGUAGCUAACGCAUUAAGUUCUCCGCCUGGGAAGUACGGUCGCAAGACUA
rnacentral:rRNA from 1 species